rnacentral:lncRNA from 1 species
CACGCACGUUAUUACAACUGCACGUUAGGCAAAAAGUUAAAAAUACGACUCUGAUAAGAAGAUUGCUCGAGAAGACAGCGCGAGGAGGGAAAAGGCUGAUACGAUGGCUACAGGUGGAGAGGCUGUUGGCAAGGAAAAAAAGAUGCCCUGUUUGCGACAGCAGGAUGCAAUUUAAAAAAACCAACAUGACCAAGGAUGGCUAUCGGUGGUAAGUGAUACUAGCUUUAUUGCCAAACAUAAGCUACACCCAGUCUGUAGCCACACUCCCAGUCAGAUCAUGUUAUACAUCUGCUUACUAUUUAUUUAUUUAUUUUAUAUUGAAGCCAAUGGCAAGUGAUUGCAUUGUGUCUAUUCAGUACGCUAAUGUAAUACUACUUCAAACUAUGUUUACAGUCAUGGUAUGUUUUGUUACAGGGUCUGCAGACGGUCAAUACACAGGGGAAGGGCCAUCACAAGAUCCAUCAGAGACGGCUCUAUAUUCUCCAGGUCUCACAUUCCUCUUGCAUCAUGGAUGAACAUUAUGCACAGGUUUGAUGCUCUCUCUUGCUCUCCCUCUCACCCCCUCUGAAAUGGCGUUAUAGGCAUGAUGUAACACUAUUUGGAAAAAUGAAGCGUGUAUCUUUCAUGCUUUCAAGCUGUGUAAAAUAUGUUUGGUUAAGCAAUAAUCUUUUUUUUUGUUUGUUUUAUUUUCAUUUUAUCUUUAAUCAAAUCAAAUUUUAUUUAUAUAGCGCCAACUCACAACAGUCGUCAUCUCAAGACGCUUUUCAAAGAGCAAGAGCAGGUCUAGACCACGCUCAUAGUUUGAUGAUCAAGAACCAACCUAAGAUGGGUUUUGUCCCAUCUUAACUAACAUGAGCGGCAGUGGCAAGGAAAAACUUCCUUUUAACAGGCAGAAACCUUGGGCAGGACCAGCCUCAUGUUAGACAGCCACCAUGCCGCAGCUGGGUUGGGGAGGAAUGUAGAGAGAUGGAGGGAGAGAGAGGAGAGAGAGAAGAGGGGAGAGGGAGAGAGAGAGAACAAGAUAAGGGAAGGCGAGAGAGAAUGGGGGGGGGGGUAGAGAACAAGGGUGAGAGAGAGACAGGGGGCAGCAGAAACAACAGCAACAACAACAACAACAGCUCAUGUAAUGGUGAAACAAAAUGAGUUCAGUUUACAGGGUUAGGAUAUGAGUGAUUAUGGACAAUGUUAAAUUAAUUGAAUGUGAUUACAGUCAGCAGGCCUAAUCAUAGUCAACUCUAGUUUAUGUUAUUAAUGUCAGUAAUGUCAGUGAGGCUGAUGUUCAUGUCUGCAGUAACAGUCCAGAGGAAUCCAAGAGAAGAAGGAGCUCAGGGUCUGAGGCGGACAAUCAUAGAUGAUGCGGCUAGAGUCAGGCAGGUCUGCAGCAGCCAUCAGCAGAUUUAAGAUUAUUCCAAUCAGGCUGACCUGAUAGUACAUGCAUAUACUGCUAGUAACUGCUGUCACAAUUAUUACCUAAUAAUUGUGAUACAUUUUUGAUAAAUGCAAUUUUUUUAGACAAUCUUCUAAAUUGUUCCAUGUUGAAAAAUUUUCAUACUUGACAUCAGCAUAACAUAUUAAUUGAAAACUGGCCUAGACCCUGUGAAGUCACAUAGAUAUGGACACAAAGUCACGGAUAGGAGUUGUCACCCCGCAUUAAGCAGAUCAACCAGCAUUUGUGACGGAUUGUAAGCUUGUAUUUCUGCAAAUUAUUUCAAAGAGGCAGUGCCAUGUUUUUUUUUCAUCCAAAACAUGAUAAUCAGCUAUUAAUAUUAAAUAAGGAGGAAAAAGUGUACAGAAAGUGUUAAAAGGAUGUUUUUAUGUGGCCACACCCACCUGUUCAUUAAAGGGACAUGAAACCCAAAAUCCCCUUUUCUUAGAUUUUAACAAAAAUAAUUAAGUCAUUUGUGAUAGGGGGAAGUUAGAAAGUACACUUGGUUCAUAGGUUUCUAGUUUCAGAGCUGUUUGCUGUUUAUAUGGCAAUUUUUUGGCUCUUUCGGCUGCAGGUUAAUAAAUUAUUCUCACAUAUCAUUUUAUCACUGUGUGUCAAAUGCACAGCGUGACAUCUCCCUCUACUGGCCAAAGCCCAGAGCCAUGGCCAAAGAUAUACUAGCUAUUUUAGCGAUGUUCAGUCGGCCCCUAGCGUCUGUAUCUCUCAUGAAAAAUUAUGCAAUUUAUUUUUUCACUUAGUGGUACAGUAAAAUGCCCAACCUGCGUAGAGGUUUUAUGGACAACUGUUGUUUAAUAGGAAAACGUAACGUGGCUACUAGUGGGUUUGUAAUGGCACCACAGCACAUCGAGUGCCAAUCCCAUAGCCUGGAGGGACGACAGCAUUGUGAGCAUUGCUUGUCUAUGAAGCGUGUGUCUGCCCCAUAGCCUGCUGACAACACUGACACUGACAACAUGCUCAAUUGCUAUCAUAAGCACCAACGUAACUGUACUGUAUAAUACACUUCCCUUAACUAGAGUUCAAAACUAUCCAUCGGUUGAUAAUAUGUUGACAUUUGUUGUGUCAGUUUGUCACAGGGUUUGAGGAGAAGGCAAGUGGAUAUGAUACAGGAUGGAGUAUGCGGGAGCAGCAGAUCACUGACCAGGGUGACCACAUUUUUGCGUCAAGUUUGCUGUGAAUCAGUCAGGUGACUGGAGCGACGGCGGGGGAUGCAGAUUGGAGGGAUAAGAGCAUUUGUGGUGAUAGACGAGAGCAAGUUUAGACACAAAAGGAAGGUAAUGUUAUAAUUUGUUGUUGCCACAGACCCACAUCUGAUUUUUAUUAUUUUUUUAUACUUUGUGAUCCUCAGAAGAGAAGAGUAAAAUGUAAUUCUUACAACACCUUCGCAACACAAUAGAUGUACAAGCUCGUAGCACAGGGGUGGGCAACUUCGAUGAUGGCAUGGGCCACAUUCACUGCAGAGGGCCACAUUCUAUGUCACACAAAUGUAGCAAAAAUAGCCGAUCUACAAGCUCAAAAUGCAUUAUGACGUGUUUUGAGCUUGUGGAUCGGCUAUUUUUGCUAUGUUUUAAUUCUUGAAAUUCCAAAUGCAUUUAGUUAUCCUAAUGUUAAGUUUAUAACCUUAAAUAUAAGUACAUUCAUUGCACAUAAAAGAAACAAUAACAUUUUAAUACUAGUCAUUAAGCUACUAAUAUAGACUGAAGUAAUUAAAGCAUGUCAUGUUUGCAUGUUUGGAAUUGGUAACAGCUGAAAUCAAUAAUAUAUCAGUAUUGCCAUAUUAGCCUGAGGGCCACAUUAAGUGAAGGUGGGGGCCGCAUGUGGCCCGAACCGCAUGUUGCCCAUGUAUGUCGCAGCAUGUCACAAAGUGACGCACACUUAGCUUGUACAUCUGCCUUGAACCCCUCCAAGGACCCCACUUUGAGAGCCAAUGGCAUAAAUUACUGCAGUAUUUUUUCUUGCUUUGCUGUUACAAAAGGCAAGGUACCAAGUAGUCGACCUUCACUAACAGUUCUCUUCAAUGAAACAGUUAACAUUUCUCCUGUGCAGAGGGGAAAAAUCUGGGAAGUGACUUUUGGACCCACUAUCUAAAAGCUUGGGGCAUUAACACAAUUUUGGGUAAAAUAAAAUAGGAGGCAGUGCAUAAAGUUUCUAAAACGUAGUGUAAACAACAAUGGUUGCUUGUGUGAGUGUGUCCUCCAUUAUAGUCUUAUAAAACUUGCAGUGUGCAUUAGAGAUAGAAAUAGAUUAAGGAUAAAAAUGAUCAAACUGUAUGAUGCAGGGCAAUUUUUACCACUGGGCAGUGUUGCCCAUUAGCAAUUUUGUCGCUAUUUUUAGUUACUUUCUGUAACCCCCACUCCCCAGCGAGAAAAUUAGAGAAAAGUGACUAGCGACAAAUUUAGUGACGUUUAUGGAUGUUCAGAGGCUCCAAGUUCACAAAAUUAAACAAAAAAAGUCUUUUCCUUUUAUUUUUGCAGGUUUUCCUUGUAUUUGUGUUGCUUUACUUGUAUUUGUGCUGCUUUCCUUUGCCCUCUCGGUUAAUACAUGCGCAGGCAUGUAUUGUAUUGUAGGCAUGUAUUUACAGGCAGCAACGUCACUACGUCGCACUACUUCAUUUGAGCUGCCCUGCCCCUUUCCUAUACAAACUCAUUGUAGCUUUAAAAUCCAUUUUAACCAUGACAGACCUUUUUUUUGGUGACUCAUAGUGUCCUCCUAAUACGUGAGGGGGCCCUGUUUUUUCAUUUAAUGUUUUGAUUUUUUUUAAAUAAUUGUUUUGGAAAAGAAUAAGUAGCAGGAGUUGGCCGGAGGACACUAAACAUAUAUUAAAAUUCUAUGAAAACAGUAAAUGAAAAAACAUGGCCCCCUCAUUAUGAGGGCAGUCACCAUAAAAAAGGUUGAAGCUACAAUGGGUUUGUAUAGGACAGGGGGCAGGGCAGCUAAAAUGAAUAUAUUGAAUAUGUAAAUACUGAAACGAAUAAUUUUGAAUUGUCUGGGGUGUUCACAUAAGCAGGAGUGGAUGAUAAAAUGACCAAAAGUAUUUUCGGAAGUGAAAUAUCCCUUUAAGAUUGACAUUCUGUUUGUUUUCAGUAUGGACGUUGUUGAAGUUGUCCAAACUUCCCCAAAUCCGUUAAUGGAGACUGGAACAGAGGAUUCAAUGAGGCAAAAAGGUGUCUUCAACCAACCUUUUAUUUCUGCA